UGUGGAAAUAUAGAAUUUUAAAUAUCCCUUUUCAAAAUAAAGAUCAUAGUAAUCAAGGUAUAGAUUAGUUUUACAAUUGCAUAACCAUUAGAUACAAGAUAUCUAUACUUUGUUUUAUACCUGCUUUAAGAUAUGACCUUAAUGUGUGUUAUUUCUCUUUUGAAAUAUAUAUAUAUUGUAACCGGUUAUAUAAGUUAACGUCGUAUUUUUGCAUUAUUCAUCAAUUAAUCCCUCGAUUGGAACGUAUGAUCGAAAGUUGUGCUUAGAAAAUGUGUCAUCCAAAAAUAUUGAUUUGUUUAUUCUUUAUAUUGUCUAUUGUUGUAUUUUCUACACAAUCUCCUUCCGUAAUUGGUAUUAAGAGUCCCACUAUUUCGUCAGGAACAGGCGUCAAUGACAAUAGUCCAACGGGCGGUCUCAGUUCUAUUCCAAAUGGAAGCAAUGAAAAACCCUGCCAAAAAUUUCAUUACUUACCUAGGUUAGAUAAGUACAUUUGUGUGGCAAAUUAGGAUAACAACGUUUUUGUAUCUUUAUAUUCUUGUACGAUUUGCUUUUGAAGUUUAACGUAAAACAAUAUAAAAAACUUUUUUAUACUUACUUAUUUGUGGAUAUGAUCAAAAUAGGUCAUCCACGAAUUCAUAAAAUAAAGAUCUUUGUUUUAACUUAGUUAAAAAUAAA
rnacentral:lncRNA from 1 species